CAGGUGUUCAAAAUGUGAUAAAAAUGUCAUACUAUAGUCAGGUGUUCAAAAUGUGAUAAAAAUGUCAUACUAUAGUAAGGUGUUGAAAAUGUGAUAAAAAUGUCAUACUAUAGUAAGGCACUGAAAAUGUGAUAAAAAUGUCAUACUAUAGUAAGGUGUUCAAAAUGUGAUAAAAAUGUCAUACUAUAGUCAGGUGUUCAAAAUGUGAUAAAAAUGUCAUACUAUAGUAAGGCACUGAAAAUGUGAUAAAAAUGUCAUACUAUAGUCAGGUGUUCAAAAUAUGAUAAAAAUGUCAUACUAUAGUCAGGUGUUCAAAAUGUGAUAAAAAUGUCAUACUAUAGUCAGGUGUUCAAAAUGUGAUAAAAAUGUCAUACUAUAGUAAGGUGUUCAAAAACUGAUAAAAAUGUCAUACUAUAGUCAGGUGUUCAAAAUGUGAUAAAAAUGUCAUACUAUAGUCAGGUGUUGGAAAUAUGAUAAAAGUGUCAUACUAUAGUCAGGUGUUGAAAAUGUGAUAAAAAUGUCAUACUAUAGUCAGGUGUUCAAAAUGUGAUAAAAAUGUCAUACUAU